rnacentral:rRNA from 1 species
AUGCAUGGUUACAACAAGCUGGUCGUCUGGCUGCUGCUCCUAAGCAGCUCGUCAUCAUACUUUGGCCAUGGAAUCAGUGCUUCUGAUGUCCAAUGCUUGAAGGACCUCAAACAAUCGUUGAUUGAUCCUAAUGAUAUACUAGGGAAAAAAUCCCACCGGUGGAAUUUUACUGACAUCCGCGAUGACGGUGACAUAUGCGGGUUCACCGGCGUGGAAUGCUGGAACCCUAAUGAAAACAGGGUUCUCAGUUUGCGCCUCGGCAACUUAGGACUCGAAGGUCCAUUUCCUCGAGGCCUCGAGCUUUGCACCUCCAUGACCACUCUGGACCUGUCAGGCAACAACUUUUCAGGGCCGCUCCCAGAACACAUCUCUGAGCAGAUGCCCUAUGUAAGCUUUCUAGACCUCUCGAACAACAGCUUCUCAGGUGGAAUCCCUGCAAGCAUCAUGAACAUGACGUACCUCAACAUCCUCGCUCUUCAACACAACCAGUUCACCGGCGAAAUUCCGGCGAUCAACCUUUCACGCCUCAUUUCGUUCAACGUCGCCAAGAACUCGUUGUUCGGUCCCGUCCCGGACUCUCUGCAGAGCUUCCCGACCGCCAACUUCAUGGGCAACCCGGGGCUCUGCGGGGCGCCGCUGGACAAUAAGUGCAAGAAGAGGUUCAGGGUGCGGAUACACGUUCGGCUUGUCCGGAUUCGGGAGAUGUUUGUCCGGAUUCAGAAGCUACUGCACAGGAUCAACGACGCGUCCAUCAUCGGGGCGUCGGCUGGGUUCAUCUUUGGGUUCGUGGUGGCCUUCUACUUCCCGCACAAGUUCUUGUUCUGUGGGAGGUUCCAGCCCUACACCUUUCGUGUUUGUGGGUGA